rnacentral:tRNA from 1 species
ACCCGGCUAGCUCAGUCGGUAGUGCAUGAGACUCUUAAUCUCAGGGUCGUGGGUUCGAGCCCCACCUUGGGCG